CCUCCACUCUAUCUCUCUCAAUCUAGUAGAAACUAGAAGAUCUAUUUCUACCUUACAUUGAUUGCUAAGCCUAAAAAGAAAUAUUAAUUAGAGAAGAGGUUUUCCUUCGAGGGCACCCCUCAGUCUCUAUGAUAAUUUCUUCAUGUCUUCUCCAGGGGCCAGGGGGCCUUGCUUAUAUAGUCCUCCCCUUCUAUGCGUUUUUGGGUCGAUAG
rnacentral:lncRNA from 1 species